UAUUAAGUGUAGAGAAUCUACGACGGUGGUUCCAAUACUUCCAAGGAGGUGGUGCCUAUGAUAAUAGACACAAAAUCUUUAGGAAAGGAGGAACAAUUUUGUCUGUCGCUGAUGCACUACUAGUCAUGAUUGUUUUUGCAAGUUUCUUGUAG
rnacentral:sRNA from 1 species